CCGACAUUUCGCCGAAAAGCAAGCUGAGAAUGAGUAAAGUGAACGCAUUAAAAUCCCAAUUGGCUGGACAGCAGUCACUUUUCACACAAUAUAGUUCAACAGCGAAAGCCACCACUGAAGAAUCGUUCCGGGUUCGUCACAUCAUUGUUCAUAACAGGAAGUCGUUCCAAGAUUGAGAGAUGCUGUAAAGGAGUACAGUUACACGGCACUGUGAAGCCAAGGCUGAUGUGUGGAAGGACAUCGGAGAUUGUGUUUCUCGCUGCAGUUGGACGAAUCCACUUACGUGAGUGACACAGCCCAGAUGAGAAGCAAGCCAAUUAAUUGGGGAGCCACAAAGCUGUUGCAUCACAUGAAAUGCUGCUUAAUUAGUCCUGUACACCAUCGCCAUGAAUGCAGAAUGAGCAGCAGAGUGCA